rnacentral:rRNA from 1 species
CGUACAAAGGUUUCCGUAGGUGAACCUGCGGAAGGAUCAUG